UACGUAGGGGGCUAGCGUUGUCCGGAAUCAUUGGGCGUAAAGCGCGUGUAGGCGGCCCGGUAAGUCCGCUGUGAAAGUCGGGGGCUCAACCCUCGAAAGCCGGUGGAUACUGUCGGGCUAGAGUACGGAAGAGGCGAGUGGAAUUCCUGGUGUAGCGGUGAAAUGCGCAGAUAUCAGGAGGAACACCCAUUGCGAAGGCAGCUCGCUGGGACAUUACUGACGCUGAGACGCGAAAGCGUGGGGAGCAAACAGG
rnacentral:rRNA from 1 species